AACCAGCUCUUCAAGUGGUCGGGAUAAUUAUUGGGCUUAAAGUGUCCGUAGCCGGUUUGGUAAGUUCCUGGUAAAAUCGGGUAGCUUAACUAUCUAUAUGCUAGGAAUACUGCUAUACUAGAGGGCGGGAGAGGUCUGAGGUACUACAGGGGGUAGGGGUGAAAUCUUAUAAUCCUUGUAGGACCACCAGUGGCGAAGGCGUCAGACUGGAACGCGCCUGACGGUGAGGGACGAAAGCCAGGGGAGCGAACCGGAUUUAGAUACCCGGGUAGUCCUGGCUGUAAACGAUGCAUACUAGGUGAUGGUGCGGCUAUGAGCCGCAUCAGUGUCGUAGGGAAACCGUUAAGUGUGCCGCCUGGGAAGUACGGUCGCAAGGCUUAAACUUAAAGGAAUUGGGCGGGGGAGCACCACGAAGGGGUGAAGCCUGCGGUUC
rnacentral:rRNA from 1 species